UGAAAAAGGACAAAUUGAAUUCCUUUGAGGUUAGCCUGAACAAUGAUUUGUUCAUUUUUUACUCAAUAAAUCUUUAUUGAUUGUCAACUAUACACCAGAUAGCUGACAAGAGGGUCCAUUGACAAGUACAUCUCAUUCUGGAGUUAGAGAUGAUGCCACAUCAAAGAGCAGGCAGUCGAUCCCAGCUGCAAGCAGGAGAGAAGGGCAUGCCCAGCAAGCUGCUCUGAAACAAGAAGAGUUGGCGUAGGGAAAAACAAGAGAACACCAGACUUCUGGGACCCGCCUCUUUCUCUUCAGCCUUCUAAUGGAGCUUAGUUCUGCUGCUGCUUGUUUUCUUCAGUUUGAAGUACAGAGGACUACUGCGCCUGACACAGGAUGCUGUCCUUGAAGAAAUUAGCAGGAAAUAGAGGUUUAUAGGAGCUUCUCCUCUGCUGCUCUUGUCUUGGAAACAAUUAGAAGUACAUUUGCAAAAUUGUAUUGAAAAUAAAUGGGAAAAAUUAUGUUU